GGCAAAUCUUGGGGUCUUUAUCAUUGUUCUUCGAGUUAGCUUUGGAAAAAUUGGAAGCACAAGUUAUCUCCAGACCACAAGAAAAGGACUAAAAGCUAUUUUCGCUUUGCUUCCAUUGUUGGGUGUAACGUUUUUGCUGGGAUUUAUUGUUGAAUUUCAUGCUGCUGUGGAAUAUGCCUAUGUGCUAUUGAAUUCCAUCCAGGGUGUUCUGCUCUUUUUUUUUCCACUGUUUACAUGAUGACGAGGUUCGUGAUGCCAUGAAUAAAGUGUUGCGUAAAAAGAAGCAUAAUCUCCAGCAGUUCAAACAUGAGCCCAAAAAAGUAACGGAAGAGGCUUCCAAGAAAGCAUAAGGACAGUACAAUGUUUUCAGUGUUGAUUGAAACGAGAACAAAUGAAAAACUCAUAUUUGAACAACAGUCGAGGCGAUGAAAAACUGAGAACUGAAGAAUCAGCCACUCUUCUGUAAGAAGUUUAAAAAACGUAGUAUUUAGAAUUAACAAAAGAAUGUCAAUAAGGUUGAAAAAUUUGUCGAAGGAGGGAGGCUCACAAACCGAAGCAAUGAUUUCAAAUCUUUUCCUUUUCAUACAACUCCAAAAAUUCAUGGCACAGAGUACUUAACAAACAUUGAAUUAUUCAAGAAGAACAUCGAAUGC